UAGGGAAUCUUCCGCAAUGGACGAAAGUCUGACGGAGCAACGCCGCGUGAGUGAAGAAGGAUUUCGGUUCGUAAAACUCUGUUGUUAGGGAAGAAAAAAUGUAUAGUAACUAUAUACAAAAGAGACGGUACCUAACCAGAAAGCCACGGCUAACUACGUGCCAGCAGCCGCGGUAAUACGUAGGUGGCAAGCGUUGUCCGGAAUUAUUGGGCGUAAAGCGCGCGCAGGUGGUUUAGAAGUCUGAUGUGAAAGCCCACGGCUCAACCGUGGAGGGUCAUUGGAAACUAAUAAACUUGAGUGCAGGAGAGAAAAGUGGAAUUCCUAGUGUAGCGGUGAAAUGCGUAGAGAUUAGGAGGAACACCGGUGGCGAAAGCGGCUUUUUGGCCUGCAACUGACACUGAGGCGCGAAAGCGUGGGGAGCAAACAGG
rnacentral:rRNA from 1 species